ACAACCUGGCAGGGCAGACAUAUGAUCAAGAAGAUCAUUUUCCCAGGGUGAGGUUUAUCCCUUGCAUUCUGGGUGUGCUGACCCCUGCAGUUUCCACAAAUAUGGGAAACUCAGCUUAAUAGUUUGUGGUAGUGGGAGACUGUGUUCACUCACCCUCCUG